UGUUUUUAAUGGUAGUUUAUUUCACCUGUCUAAGCCUAUAUUUAUUUUUUUACAUCCGGUGCAAUGCACAGUUCCUUUUGCUAGUUAGAGGUACAAGAGUCGAUCUCAUCAUGCAUUGUGUUACUAGCUAACAGGCGAACGAACUAUCGACUUUUGGAUUACACGAUUAGUAGCUAGGCUGUUCUCGGGCGGGCAGUCUAUACAUUAUUAGAGUUGCUACGAACGCAUUGGUCAACACUACUAGUGACCAGGAGCAGCCUGGCUAACACAGGAGCUAGACGCAGCACGACGACACUAGCUACUUGGCGGCCUCUCCAUGGUGGAGGCCCGCGAAGUAGCCCUGGGGGUUUGCCUCGAAGCCGGAGCGGGCGAUGUAGCCGUCGGCGCCGGGGGCCCUCAUCAUGCCGUCUCCCCCGCCGCCGGCCGACUUACCCAUCCCACCGUGCCCGCCUCCGCCGCCGGACUUGGCAGAUGCUCCACCGGUCCCACCACCUUUCCCGCCGCCUCCU
rnacentral:lncRNA from 1 species